CAGUAAGAUGACCUGUUGACCUAUUCAGUAAGAUGACCUGUUGAGUAAAAUUACCUGUUGAGUAAAAUGACCUGUUGAGUAAAAUGACCUCUUGAGUAAAAUGACCUGUUGAGUAAAAUGACCUGUUGAGUAAGAUGACCUGUUGAGUAAGAUGACCUGUUGACCUGUUGAGUAAAAUGACCUGUUGAGUAAGAUGACCUGUUGAGUAAAAUGACCUGUUGAAUAAAAUGACCUGUUCAGGAAGAUGACCUGUUGAGUAAGAUGACCUGUGUUGACCUGUUCAGUAAGAUGACCUUUCAGUAAGAUGACCUGUGUUGACCUGUUCAGUAAGAUGACCUGUUGAGUAAGAUGACCUGUUGAGUAAAAUGACCUGUUGAGUAAAAUGACCUGUUGAGUAAAAUGACCUGUUGAGUAAAAUGACCUGUUGAGUAAAAUGACCUGUUGAGUAAAAUGACCUGUUGAGUAAAAUGACCUGUUGAGUAAAAUGACCUCUUGAGAUAGAUGACCUGUUGAGUAAAAUGACCUGUUGAGUAAAAUGACCUGUUGAGUAAAAUGACCUGUUGAGUAAAAUGACCUGUUGAGUAAAAUGACCUGUUGAGUAAAAUUACCUGUUGAG
rnacentral:lncRNA from 13 species